rnacentral:rRNA from 1 species
GUGAGGAAUAUUGGUCAAUGGGCGAGAGCCUGAACCAGCCAAGUCGCGUGAAGGAUGAAGGUUUUAUGAAUUGUAAACUUCUUUUGCAGGGGAAUAAAGUACGGUACGUGUACCGUUUUGUAUGUACUCUGCGAAUAAGGAUCGGCUAACUCCGUGCCAGCAGCCGCGGUAAUACGGAGGAUCCAAGCGUUAUCCGGAUUGAUUGGGUUUAAAGGGUGCGCAGGCGGGUUGAUAAGUCAGCGGUGAAAGUUUGCAGCUUAACUGUAAAAAUGCCGUUGAAACUGUCGGACUUGAGUGUAAAUGAGGUAGGCGGAAUGCGUGGUGUAGCGGUGAAAUGCAUAGAUAUCACGCAGAACUCCGAUUGCGAAGGCAGCUUACUAAGCUACAACUGACACUGAAGCACGAAAGCGUGGGGAUCAAACAGGAUUAGAAACCCGAGUAGUCC